UCACUUAUAUCUUUUGAGCAUACCAGUUGCUCUAGUACUUCACUUAUAUAUUUUUGAGCACGAUGGCGUGUAGAUUUUAUAGAAAUAUUAUGCUCUCAUUCUUCACUUAUAUUUGUCUGAGAUAUGGAAAAAUAGUGACCGUAAUUUUCAUGGGUCAUAAGACUAGAUAAAAAAUAAUGAGUAUUCAAUGAAUGAUAAUUAAAACCAUAAUGUAGCACAUAUAGAGAAAUUGUGGUUAAUGAUAUUGAUGUGGCAAUAUGAAAAAAGUGUUUGUGCAUUAUUAUUACUUCAUAAAGGUGUCGAUAUUAAUAUAUGUUAAACUUCUUGUUCAUCAAAAAAAUUAAAAAGGUAUGGUGAUGAUGAGUGAGCAUUUUUAUUCCUCGUUGAAAUCCUAGUGUUUAUUGAGU
rnacentral:lncRNA from 1 species